GAAUCACCACCGUACGAAGUGUACAGCCCAUCUAGCAUCUUCCGCCGCCGCCCGCCGUCCCGUCGCAUGCGGCCGACGCCGGCGCUCGCCGCCGGCGGACGGACGGUGGCGAACCUCCUCUCCGCCACGGAGUGGAUGCUACGGUCUCCGGCUAGCCAAGUCCACACCAUCUCCGUCCUUCCCUCCCAGUCACCCACCUCUCGGCACGAGUUCGCCUUCUCCAACCUCACCACAUCGCUCGGGAACGGCGGCGGCAAGGGGGUAGAGGAGGGGAGUCCUAGGUUCCACGUGGUGCGCGACGACCUCCUCCACCCGCUCGCCAACGGAAACAAGGCGCGCAAGCUCGACGCGCUCCUGCCCCUCCUCCGCCGCCGCGGCGCCACUGACAUCGUUACAUGCGGGGGUUGCCAGAGCGCCCAUGCCGCAGCCGUUGCUGUUCAUUGUGCUGAAUGGGGAAUCAGGCCGUAUAUACUGCUGAGAGGCGAGCAACCGGAUGUUCCCACAGGGUAUAAUCUCAUCUCUUUGAUGUUCGGCAAUGUGACAUAUGCCUCACGGUCACUGUAUGCCCAAAGAGAUGAGAUGCUUUAUGAACAUGCCACAAAGGUUGCAGGUAGUAACGGCACAGUGAUGUGGGCUGAUGAUAUUAUUGGAGAGGAUUUGGUUGUAGAUGAGGACACCACUUAUUAUGGAAAUUGUUCGAGAAGAGUAAUGAUUGUUAAGGAAGGGGCAGGUAGUGUUCAAGCGCUGCUAGGUGUCAUGCGGCUAGUGGACUAUCUUUCUGUUAUGACAUUAUUUGGACAGGAUGAGAAAGUUCAUAUCGUGGUUGAUUCUGGAACAGGCACAACAGCUGUGGGGCUAGCUCUUGGAGCGGUAUGUCUAGGACUUCAGUGGAGGGUUACUGCUAUCAUGCUUGCUGACACACUUGAAAGGUACAGACAACAAGAGAAAUCCCUUGUAUCUGAUUUUGGAAAGGUUUACCCUGGACUUUUCCACAGAAUGGUGGAAAAUGAUACUCAUGGCAGUCUAGUUCAGUGGGUGGAGCGCUCUUCACCUAGAAGUGGUAUCCUGAUUGUGAUUGAGGAUACCCACCCAUCCAUCUUCUCUGUGAGAGGAAUCAACAUUGAAAAUUUGGCAAGGUGCUGGAUGGUGAGAUCGCGAUGUGCCGCCAGGUCGCUCAGCAGACCGGUGUCCUUCUGGACCCGAUAUACACCUUGGCUGCCUGGGAGCAAGCUGUGGAUCUGUGUCGCCGGGACAGUGAGGCCAAAGUGGUGAUGAUCCAUACGGGCGGCACCCUCGGCCUCUUCGGCCUGGCGCAAAGGUACCCGCCACAGUUCACUGCAGACGAGCAAUCCUAAGCACGCCAGUGUUGAUACGCAAGUGUACAGGAUGUCGGGUUGCUUAUAAACAUCAAGGAGCAUGUUCUUGUUCCUGAGCAUCAGGUGCUCACAAAUGAGGAGAAGACACUAUUGGAGCGGUACACCUUAAAGGAAACUCAGGUAUUGCUGCUUAUUCACACUUGCAAGUUUAGCUUUUGGGGGCAGUGGAGCCAAUCAUAUAUUUAUACUUCUCUAAUUUACCAAUUGGAUGAAGGAUCAGGUUAACGUGAAGUUUAACUUUCUAGAGGAAAAAACAUUCUAAAUUGGUUGUAGGUUUAUUUUUUCUUUCUUUCAGUAUGUGAUGUCCAAUUAAUCAAAAUAAUUGUGUUCAAUUAAUCAAAUGUGUACACGUCGGAAAGUAAAUCUAACUAAUACAGGUGUACCAUCUAAUACUUGAUGACUGACUUAUGUGUGUUUACUUGGCGACUGACCUCUGUUUGUUUGCAAUCAAUGAAGAAUUUCAUUACGAUAAAAGAUUGUCCUUUUUUUUUGACCUGUUGGUGCCACUGAAUUUUGGCAGCACCUCAUCAUUUCUGAAUUUUUACAUCACUGGGGCUUUAGAAUUGCAAAUAAAGUAUGAAUGAAGGCUAAUCCCAACUUUGUUACUUUAUUUCAGAUACUUGGUAAGGCAGAGUGGGGAACACUUGGCUUAGGGUGAUCUAAAAACCGGCGCAGUUCUUUGUGAGGUAUUCCAGAACAUAGUCACAAAGUUUCUGGAUCGACCGGGUCGAGGAACGGGGUCGAGGAUCGAGGGUCGUCACUUUAUAAAAUUGUGGUACGAAGGGGGUAUACCUCUAUGGAACGAUAAAUUAUUAUGUGGAACGUGACCCUGAUUCAUCCGGGUCGAUAUCUUCGGGUC